rnacentral:rRNA from 1 species
AGCGAACGCUGGCGGCAUGCCUAACACAUGCAAGUCGAACGAGACCUUCGGGUCUAGUGGCGCACAGGUGCGUAACGCGUGGGAACCUGCCCUUAGGUUCGGAAUAACUCCCCGAAAGGGGUGCUAAUACCGGAUAAUGUCUUCGGACCAAAGAUUUAUCGCCUUUGGAUGGGCCCGCGUUGGAUUAGCUAGUUGGUAGGGUAAAAGCCUACCAAGGCGACGAUCCAUAGCUGGUCUGAGAGGAUGAUCAGCCACACUGGGACUGAGACACGGCCCAGACUCCUACGGGAGGCAGCAGUGGGGAAUAUUGGACAAUGGGCGAAAGCCUGAUCCAGCAAUGCCGCGUGAGUGAUGAAGGCCUUAGGGUUGUAAAGCUCUUUUACCCGGGAUGAUAAUGACAGUACCGGGAGAAUAAGCUCCGGCUAACUCCGUG